rnacentral:snoRNA from 1 species
CCCAUAGACCCUGCACUAAAAAAUUAAAAAAACAUUUUUUUUUUUAAUGAAGGUAGGUCCAAGUGGCUUAGGGGAGCACAGGGCUCUGCCCUGUGAUGUACGAUCCCUUUCCACAAUGUUGGAGAAGAAGCUGGGCCCUGUGCCUGCGUCUGUGUACUCCUGUAACUUCUCAGAGUCCUUUGGGUAAUGACUGAGGAGAUAAACCAUGCAGGAAAUGAUG